AGUUGAAUUCGCGCCUAGGACACCGCCCUUUCACGGCGGUAACAGGGGUUCGAAUCCCCUAGGGGACGCCA
rnacentral:tRNA from 1 species